CAGAGGUGCCAAGCGUUAGGCGGAAUCACUGGGCUUAAAGCGCGUGUAGGUGGGUCGUUAAGUGUCCGCGUGAAAUCCCACGGCUCAACCGUGGAACUGCCGGGCAUACUGGCGAUCUUGAGGCAUUCAGGGGCGAGCGGAACAAGUGGUGGAGCGGUGAAAUGCGUAGAUAUCACUUGGAACGCCAAUGGUGAAAACAGCUCGCUGGGAAUGAUCUGACACUGAGACGCGAAAGCCAGGGGAGCGAACGGGAUUAGAUACCCCGGUAGUCCUGGCCCUAAACGAUGUCCACUAGAUCGUGGCACCUCUGACGGUGUCAUGGUCGGAGCAAAAGUGUUAAGUGGACCGCCUGGGAAGUACGGUCGCAAGGCUA
rnacentral:rRNA from 1 species